rnacentral:ncRNA from 1 species
UUAAAGUUUUAUUCUUACUUAUAAAUUAGUGGUAAGUUUGUUUUACAUAUAAGUUUUAGCGUGGAAAAUAAAAUUUUAUCUUAAUGGUGAUUUUGUUUCUUAAGGUUAGGUUCGCAGUGUUUAAUAUUAUAAAUUAGAGAAAUUUAGAUUUAGCAAAUUUGUUAGUAUCGGCAAAAGUCGUGCCAGCCGCCGCGGUUAUACGAAGGAUACAAAUUAAUAAUUAUUGAUUAAUAGUUAGAUUUAAGAAUUAAAAAGGAAUUGAUAAUAGGUUUUGUAAGGUGAAAUUUUAAAUUUAUUUUGUAUUGCUUGUUAUAGAUAUUGAAGCUGUGAAAUUUAAGUUUUAAACUAGGAUUAGAUACCCUAUUAUUUUAAAUGUAAAAGUUUAUAUAGGUCAGAGUAGUAUUAGAUAUGUUCUUGAAACUCAAAGAAUUUGGCGGUACUUUAGUCUUUUCAGAGGAAUUUGCCCCGUGAUCGAUAUUCCACGUUAUAUCUUACUUAAUUUAGUAAGCAGUUUGUAUACCGCCGUCGUCAGAAUGUCCUUUAAGGGGAAAAAUUUUCUUGAUUUUUAUUUAUUAAAUAGGAUGUCAGGUCAAGGUGCAGCUAAUGAUUAAGUGGAGGUGAAUUACAAUAAAUAAAUUUAAGACGAAUAGUAGUUUGAAAAUGAGCUAUUGGAAGGUGGAUUUGAUGGUAAUUUAUUAUGAAGUUAAAUAUUUUGAUUUUAGCUCUAAAGUAUGCACACAUCGCCCGUCGCUCUCGUUAUUUAAGGCGAGAUAAGUCGUAACAUAGUAGAUGUACCGGAAGGUGUAUCUGGAAAGUUU